rnacentral:rRNA from 1 species
GAUGAACGCUGGCGGCGUGCCUAAUACAUGCAAGUCGAGCGAACAGAUGAGGAGCUUGCUCCUCUGACGUUAGCGGCGGACGGGUGAGUAACACGUGGAUAACCUACCUAUAAGACUGGUAUAACUUCGGGAAACCGGAGCUAAUACCGUAUAAUAUAUUGAACCGCAUGGUUCAAUAGUGAAAUACGGUUUUGCUGUCACUUAUAGAUGGAUCCGCGCCGCAUUAGAUAGUUGGUAAGGUAACGGCUUACCAAGGCAACGAUGCGUAGCCGACCUGAGAGGGUGAUCGGCCACACUGGAACUGGGACACGGACCAGACGCCUACGGGAGGCAGCAGUAGGGAAUCUUCCGCAAUGGGCGAAAGCCUGACGGAGCAACGCCGCGUGAGUGAUGAAGGUCUUCGGAUCGUAAAACUCUGUUAUUAGGGAAGAACAAAUGUGUAAGUAACUAUGCACGUCUUGACGGUACCUAAUCAGAAAGCCACGGCUAACUACGUG